CAUAAACAGGGUCCAGUUACAAAAAGCCCCGACUUAUUAAUCGGGGUUUUUUGUUAUUUGACAGCAAAAUCACUGGGCUUUAGGCCCUUUUUUU
rnacentral:sRNA from 1 species